AAUUCUUGCUUUACAUAUGUUAGUUGACGUAAGACUUUAAUAUUUAAUUUUAGGCAUAAUUCAAUCAAAAAAGGUUUCUAUAACUAUUCCUUUGCUUACUAUUUUUAAUCUUUAAUUACAGAUUGAAACUAAUUCAAAAAUGUGCAUAUCGAUAACGAAGAAUGUUAAUUGUCUGACAGCGGACUGGAACUAUUGUGCAAAAGGAACUUCUGAAAUGUAGAAAAGAACAAGCUCAUUUGCUUAGUUCAGUGAAUAACUCGUUUGUUCGCUCACUUAUGAGCUACCCAAAUAUACUCCACAUGUGCAGCCAAAGUACAACAGCACCAUAAAAGCUAAAAAUUUGGAAAUUAUUUACGUGAAACCCCAAAUAGGUUUCCAAAAAAGAGAGCUGUCUCAUGUUCAUGGUGUGCCAGUCCAGUCCUUUGUCAGUCAAUUGUGUUUGUGUGCGUUCAUAAAGUUACGCGGUAUUGUUGUUGUGUGCGUGUGUGAGAGCGGAGCAGCAAAUACUAAAUUGGAUUUUAUAUAAGUGCCGUUGUUGUCUUUUAACAAAUUCCACGCAAAUAUUUAAUAGUGGAACAUACACACAUGCACAAAAAUACGUUGUGUUACUGUGUUACCAGCGCAACAAGGAGACUUCCAUGACAACGACAAAUAACAACAUCAGCAGUAGCAGCAAUAACAAAAACA